rnacentral:rRNA from 1 species
ACGCUAGCGAUAGGCUUAACACAUGCAAGUCGAGGGGCAGCAUGGUCUUAGCUUGCUAAGACUGAUGGCGACCGGCGCACGGGUGCGUAACGCGUAUGCAACUUGCCUCACAGAGGGGGAUAACCCGUCGAAAGACGGACUAAUACCGCGUACACUCCACUUUGGGCAUCCAAAGUAGAGGAAAUGAAAUUCGCUGUGAGAUAGGCAUGCGUCCCAUUAGCUAGUUGGUGAGGUAACGGCUCACCAAGGCGACGAUGGGUAGGGGAACUGAGAGGUUGAACCCCCACACUGGUACUGAGACACGGACCAGACUCCUACGGGAGGCAGCAGUGAGGAAUAUUGGUCAAUGGGCGAGAGCCUGAACCAGCCAAGUCGCGUGAAGGAUGACUGUCUUAUGGAUUGUAAACUUCUUUUAUACGGGAAUAACAAGAGUCACGUGUGGCUCCCUGCAUGUACCGUAUGAAUAAGCAUCGGCUAACUCCGUGCCAGCAGCCGCGGUAGUACGGAGGAUGCGAGCGUUAUCCGGAUUUAUUGGGUUUAAAGGGUGCGUAGGCGGCCUGUUAAGUCAGCGGUGAAAUCUAGGAGCUUAACUCCUAAAUUGCCAUUGAUACUGGCGGGCUUGAGUGUAGAUGAGGUAGGCGGAAUGCGUGGUGUAGCGGUGGAAUGCAUAGAUAUCACGCAGAACUCCGAUUGCGAAGGCAGCUUACUAAGGUACAACUGACGCUGAAGCACGAAAGCGUGGGUAUCAAACAGGAUUAGAUACCCUGGUAGUCCACGCAGUAAACGAUGAUAACUGGGCGUAUGCGAUAUACAGUAUGCUCCUAAGCGAAAGCGUUAAGUUAUCCACCUGGGGAGUACGCCGGCAACGGUGAAACUCAAAGGAAUUGACGGGGGCCCGCACAAGCGGAGG